rnacentral:rRNA from 1 species
UGUUUCGACUAGGGGGUCAUCCCGACUUACCAACUCGAUGCAAACUGCGAAUACCGAAGAAUGUUAUCACGGGAGACACACGGCGGGUGCUAACGUCCGUCGUGAAGAGGGAAACAACCCAGACCGCCAGCUAAGGUCCCAAAGUCAUGGUUAAGUGGGAAACGAAGUGGGAAGGCUCAGACAGCCAGGAUGUUGGCUUAGAAGCAGCCAUCAUUUAAAGAAAGCGUAAUAGCUCACUGGUCGAGUCGGCCCGCGCGGAAGAUGUAACGGGGCUAAACCAUGCACCGAAGCUGCGGCAGCGACACAUAGUGUUGUUGGGUAGGGGAGCGUUCUGUAAGCCUGCGAAGGUGUACUGUGAGGUAUGCUGGAGGUAUCAGAAGUGCGAAUGCUGACAUAAGUAACGAUAAUGCGGGUGAAAAACCCGCACGCCGGAAGACCAAGGGUUCCUGUCCAACGUUAAUCGGGGCAGGGUGAGUCGACCCCUAAGGCGAGGCUGAAAAGCGUAGUCGAUGGGAAACGGGUUAAUAUUCCCGUACUGGUGGUAACUGCGAUGGGGGAACGGAGAAGGCUAGGUUGUCCGGGCGACGGUCGUCCCGGUUCAAGCAGGUAGGCAGAGUGAUUAGGCAAAUCCGGUCACUUAAUGC